rnacentral:lncRNA from 1 species
CCACGUGGUGGAAAACCACUGAAAAAUACUACCACCUCAGCUCCAACAAGAAGACCUCUCUCUCCCUCUCUCUGGGAAGACAGAUUCUUGAUGAAAAAUACUCCCUUGGGAAAUCCCUGACCACCAAACAGAUUGUGCAAUUGGCCUCAAAGGGUGACCAGAAAAACGCCAUAAACGUCGUUUUGACGUCUGCCGACGUGACUGUUGAUGGGUUCUGUAUGAACCGAUGCG